rnacentral:rRNA from 1 species
GAUGAACGCUAGCUACAGGCUUAACACAUGCAAGUCGAGGGGAAACGAUGAGAGAGCUUGCUCUCUUAGGCGUCGACCGGCGCACGGGUGAGUAACGCGUAUCCAACCUACCCCUUACAGGGGGAUAACCUUGCGAAAGUAAGACUAAUACCCCAUGGCAUUUUAUGGUGGCAUCAUUAUAGGAUUAAAGAUUUAUUGGUAAUGGAUGGGGAUGCGUCUGAUUAGCUUGUUGGCGGGGUAACGGCCCACCAAGGCAACGAUCAGUAGGGGUUCUGAGAGGAAGGUCCCCCACAUUGGAACUGAGACACGGUCCAAACUCCUACGGGAGGCAGCAGUGAGGAAUAUUGGUCAAUGGGCGAGAGCUUGAACCAGCCAAGUAGCGUGCAGGAGGACGGCCCUAUGGGUUGUAAACUGCUUUUAUAGGGGAAUAAAGUGAGCUACGUGUAGUUUAUUGCAUGUACCCUAUGAAUAAGGACCGGCUAAUUCCGUG